rnacentral:lncRNA from 1 species
ACAAGGGGUACAAUCAAAAUCACGUGAUGGAUAUACACACACCGGAAGUAACAGUCGAGCACACCGCUUGAAAGGUAAGUAGUCGUAUUUACUUGUUUAUUUCAAUAAAAUUUGAUAAAUAAGGUAGUGCACCGUAUGUCGGAUACUAUCUAGUUUUGAAAUACACAAUUAUCCUUGCUGGAAAGCGUGCAGUUAAUGAUAACACUUAGACACAGUUCAAAAAUUUCACCAGAUAACUGUGUCGAAGUGUUUGCAAUAACUGCACGCUUUCUAGCAAAAACAAUUGUGUAUUUUAAAACUACAUAUUAUCCGACACUCGGUGUGCCAACUUAUUAAUCAAAAUUUAAUUGAUAUAAACAAGAAAAUGCAACUACUAACCUUUCAAGCGGCGAGUUCGACUGUAACUUCCGGUGUGUGUAUAUCCAUCACGUGAUUUUGAUUGUACCCCUUGUAGUAGUUAGU